rnacentral:rRNA from 1 species
GAAGCUGUUUCUGGUCUUAAGAUCAAUUUCGCCAAGAGUGAGGUUAUGGUGACGGGGGUUGACCGGGCGGAGGCCUUGCGGGUGGCCAGACUCCUCAACUGCUCCUUAGGUUCCUUUCCUUUCAAAUAUUUAGGUCUUCCUAUCUCUCCUGGUCUGCUUCACGCGAAAGACUUCGCUCCGGUGGUUGCUAAAGUGGGGAAUAGGGUGCUUCCUUGGAGGGGUAGGUAUAAUACCAAUGCUGGCAAAGUGGCUCUAAUCAAUUCUUGCUUAUCCUCUCUCCCGUUGUUCCUUAUGGGCUUUUACCGUCUCACGGAUGGUGUGCAUGCUGGCUUCGACAAACAUAGGGGUGGC